rnacentral:rRNA from 1 species
AUACGGAGGGGGCAAGCGUUAUUCGGAAUUAUUGGGCGUAAAGGGCGCGCAGGCGGCUUGACAAGUCAACGGUGAAAUCCCUCGGCCUAACCGAGGAACUGCCUUUGAAACUGUCUCGCUUGAGGCCGGGAGAGGGUGGUGGAAUUCCCAGUGUAGCGGUGAAAUGCGUAGAUAUUGGGCGGAACACCAGUGGCGAAGGCGACCACCUGGACCGGUUCUGACGCUGAGGCGCGAAAGCCAGGGGAGCAAACGGGAUUAGAAACCCCGGUAGUCC